GAUGAAGAACGUAGCGAAAUGCGAUACUUGGUGUGAAUUGCAGAAUCCCGUGAACCAUCUAGUCUUUGAACGCAAGUUGCGCCCGAAGCCAUCAGGUUGAGGGCACGUCUGCCUGGGCGUCACAUAUCGUUGCCCAAUGCCUAUUGCAGUGCAAUAGGAAUUUCUAGGGCGAAUGAUGGCUUCCCGUGAGCGUUGUUGCCUCGCGGUUGGUUGAAAAUCGAGUCCUUGGUAGGGUGUGCCAUGGUAGAUGGUGGUCGAGUUAGAACGAUACCGAUCAUGUGCAUGCUCCCCAAAAUAUGGCCUCUAUGACCCACACGCGUCUUUUGACGCUCAUGACGAGACCUCAGGUCAGGCGGGGCUACCCGCUGAAUUUAAGCAUAUCAAUAAGCGGAGGA
rnacentral:misc_RNA from 1 species